rnacentral:rRNA from 1 species
AACCAGCACCUCAAGUGGUCAGGAUGAUUAUUGGGCCUAAAGCAUCCGUAGCCUGUUCUAUAAGUUUGCGGUUAAAUCUAUGCGCUCAACGUAUAGGCUGCCGUAAAUACUGUAGAACUAGGGAGUGGGAGAGGUAGACGGUACUCGAUAGGAAGGGUAAAAUCCUUUGAUCUAUUGAUGACCACCUGUGGCGAAGGCGGUCUACCAGAACACGUUCGACGGUGAGGGAUGAAAGCUGGGGGAGCAAACCGG